rnacentral:rRNA from 1 species
GAUGAACGCUGGCGGCGUGCCUAACACAUGCAAGUCGAGCGAACAGACGAUGCGCUUGUUCCUCUCACGUUUGCGGCGGACGGGUGAGUAACACGUGGAUAACCUACUUAUAAUUCGGGUAAAAUUUCGGGAAUCCGGCUCUAAUACCGUAUAAUCUAUUGAACCGCAGGGUUCAAUAGUGAAUGUCGGCUUUGCGGGCACGUCUAGCGGGUUCCGCGCCGCAUUAGCUGGUUGGUAAGGUAACGGCUUACCAAGGCGACGAUGCGUAGCCGACCUGAGAGGGUGAUCGGCCACACUGGAACUGAGACACGGUCCAGACUCCUACGGGAGGCAGCAGUCGGGAAUCUUCGGCAAUGGGCGAAAGCCUGACGGAGCAACGCCGCGUGAGUGAUGAAAGUCUUCGGAUCGUAAAACUCUGUUAUUAGGGAAGAACAGAUGUGUAAGUAACUAUGCACGUCUUGACGGUACCUAAUCAGAAAGCCACGGCUAACUACGUG